rnacentral:rRNA from 1 species
AUUGAACGCUGGCGGCAGGCCUAACACAUGCAAGUCGAGCGGAUGAAGGGAGCUUUCUCCUGGAUUCAGCGGCGGACGGGUGAGUAAUUCCUAGGAAUCUGCCUGGUAGUUGGGGAUAACGUCCGUAAACGGGCGCUAAUACCGCAUACGUCCUUAUGGUGAAAGUGGGGGAUCUUCGGACCUCGCGCUACCAGAUGAGCCUAGGUCGGAUUAGCUAGUUGGUUGGGUAAAGGCCUACCAAGGCGACGAUCCGUAACUGGUCUGAGAGGAUGAUCAGUCACACUGGAACUGAGACACGGUCCAGACUCCUACGGGAGGCAGCAGUGGGGAAUAUUGGACAAUGGGCGAAAGCCUGAUCCAGCCAUGCCGCGUGUGUGAAGAAGGUCUUCGGAUUGUAAAGCUCUUUAAGUUGGGAGGAAGGGCAGUAAGUUAAUACCUUGCUGUUUUGACGGUACCAACAGAAUAAGCACCGGCUAACUUCGUG